UUUCCGUAGGUGAACCUGCGGAAGGAUCAUUCAUAAUAAGUGUUUUAUGGCACUUUUUUAAAUCCAUAUCCACCUUGUGUGCAAUGUCAGGGUUGAUUUUUCUCUCGAGAGGAUCAGCCCCAAACAUCAACUAUUAUCUCAACUCUUUGUCUGAAAAAUAUUAUGAAUAAAACAAUUCAAAAUACAACUUUCAACAACGGAUCUCUUGGCUCUC
rnacentral:misc_RNA from 1 species